CUCGGUCGCAUAUAGAGAGGAAACGUUAUGAGAAGAAACCUACACCCACUCUCCUGCCUUCCCCUUCACUCCCAUAAAUCUCAACCUUUUCAAGUUCUGAAGAUAUGUAGAUGAGCGCCCCGACCUCCUCUUCCAUUCCCGUAGCAACUCAUUCCCUCUCCCUUCCUCCUCUACCAAAGAACUCUCCCUGAACUUUGAAGCUCCAUGGACGCGAGGUCUCCAUCCCGAUGACUCGGACCACCCCCAUCCAUGCCCUUGCGCCAGAAGGUCCUGCUCCA
rnacentral:rRNA from 1 species